CAGGUGUUAUAUGGGCACUUCUCUCAGUUCUGGUGCUCUGGGUUGGAAAUCCCAGGUUGGGGUUUAGACUCCAGAGCUCUCAAUGGGAACCCCACACAGCUGAGAUAUCCCUCCGGACCAUUAGCUGCUAUCUGUAGGAGUCAGGCCACCCCUUUUGCAUCUCUGUAUUUUCUACCAGACUCUAUGUGGUCUCUACUUUCCAUCCUUGGCUAUCAGGGUUCUCUACAGCGAGUCUUCAGUUGAUUUUUCAGGGUGUUUUUUCAGUAUUUUAAUUG